rnacentral:rRNA from 1 species
CCCUUAGAUGUUCUGGGCCGCACGCGUGCUACACUGAGUGGAUCAGCGGGUCAGGUUGCGCGAAAGCGUUUCCUAAUCUUUAAAUCCGCUCGUGAUGGGGAUUGACGGUUGCAAUUUUCUGUCAUGAACGAGGAAUACCUUGUAAGCGCGGGUCAUCAUCCCGCGCUGAUUACGUCCCUGCCCUUUGUACACACCGCCCGUCGCACCUACCGAUUGAAUGACUCGGUGAAAAAUUGGGACCGUGAGUCUGUUUGCUUCAUUGCGAGUGGAUUGAUGGGAACUUUUUUAAACCUCGCCAUUUAGAGGAAGGUGAAGUCGUAACA